GACGUAGGGCGCAAGCGUUGUCCGGAUUUAUUGGGCGUAAAGAGCUCGUAGGCGGCUUGCCACGUCUGCCGUGAAAACCAGCAGCUUAACUGUUGGCUUGCGGUUGAUACGGGUUGGCUGGAGUUCGGUAGGGGAGACUGGAAUUCCUGGUGUAGCGGUGAAAUGCGCAGAUAUCAGGAGGAACACCGGUGGCGAAGGCGGGUCUCUGGACAGUUCCUGACGCUGAGGCACGAAGGCCAGGGGAGCAAACGGG
rnacentral:rRNA from 1 species